rnacentral:rRNA from 1 species
CCUACGGGUGGCAGCAGUGGGGAAUAUUGCACAAUGGGGGAAACCCUGAUGCAGCGACGCCGCGUGAGCGAUGAAGUAUUUCGGUAUGUAAAGCUCUAUCAGCAGGGAAGAAAAUGACGGUACCUGACUAAGAAGCCCCGGCUAACUACGUGCCAGCAGCCGCGGUAAUACGUAGGGGGCAAGCGUUAUCCGGAUUUACUGGGGGUAAAGGGAGCGUAGGCGGCUGUGCAAGCGAGAGGUGAAAGCCCGGGGCUCAACCCCGGAACUGCAUUUGGAACUGUGGAGCUAGAGUGUCGGAGAGGUAGGCGGAAUUCCUGGUGUAGCGGUGAAAUGCGUAGAGAUUAGGAGGAACACCGGUGGCGAAGGCAGCCUACUAGACGAUGACUGACGUUGAGGCUCGAAAGCGUGGGGAGCAAACAGGAUUAGAUACCCCAGUAGUC